rnacentral:rRNA from 1 species
UACGUAGGUGGCAAGCGUUGUCCGGAUUUACUGGGUGUAAAGGGCGUGUAGGCGGGAUAGCAAGUCAGAUGUGAAAUUCCGGGGCUUAACCCCGGCGCUGCAUCUGAAACUGUUAUUCUUGAGUGUCGGAGAGGAAAGUGGAAUUCCCAGUGUAGCGGUGAAAUGCGUAGAGAUUGGGAGGAACACCAGUGGCGAAGGCGGCUUUCUGGACGAUAACUGACGAUGAGGCGCGAAAGCGUGGGGAGCAAACAGG